GCCGUAGUGAUGUAACGGUAGCACACUCGACUCGUAUUCGAGAGGCUCAGGGUUCGAGUCCUUGCGAGGGCA
rnacentral:tRNA from 1 species